GGGCCUGUAGCUCAGAGGAUUAGAGCACGUGGCUAGAACCACGGUGUCGAGGGUUCAAAUCCCUCCUCGCUCA
rnacentral:tRNA from 1 species